rnacentral:rRNA from 1 species
AUUGAACGCUGGCGGCAGGCCUAACACAUGCAAGUCGAGCGGAUGACAGGAGCUUGCUCCUUGAUUCAGCGGCGGACGGGUGAGUAAUGCCUAGGAAUCUGCCUGGUAGUGGGGGACAACGUUUCGAAAGGAACGCUAAUACCGCAUACGUCCUACGGGAGAAAGCAGGGGACCUUCGGGCCUUGCGCUAUCAGAUGAGCCUAGGUCGGAUUAGCUAGUUGGUGGGGUAAUGGCUCACCAAGGCGACGAUCCGUAACUGGUCUGAGAGGAUGAUCAGUCACACUGGAACUGAGACACGGUCCAGACUCCUACGGGAGGCAGCAGUGGGGAAUAUUGGACAAUGGGCGAAAGCCUGAUCCAGCCAUGCCGCGUGUGUGAAGAAGGUCUUCGGAUUGUAAAGCACUUUAAGGUGGGAGGAAGGGCAGUAAGUUAAUACCUUGCUGUUUUGACGUUACCGACAGAAUAAGCACCGGCUAACUCUGUGCCAGCCGCCGCCGUAA